AACGCAAAUGGCGCCAACGGUCCCCCGUUGGCAUGCCUGUCUGAGUGUCAUUUUCCAACCUUGUGCUUUCACGAGCGCAGCCUUGAGGCGUCCCCGGGCCCUAGCCGCCCGGCGUCCCUUGAAACUCAGUGACAGCGGUUUUAACGCGCUUCAUUCACGCCUUCGCGGAUUACUCUGAUCUCGCGUGUGUCAUUAAAUUCAUUUUUAAUUGUACCCAACGCCAGGCCAGCCCCGAGAGCCGAAGCGCGCCGUGUUGUCGGAAACCAUCAAGGAAGAGAAGAGGCUUGCCUGUUCUUCUUCUUUUUUGCUCAACCCUUGACCUCAGAUCAGACAAGACCACCCGCUGAAUUUAA
rnacentral:misc_RNA from 1 species